rnacentral:ribozyme from 1 species
UUUUUUUUUUUUUUUUUUUUUUUUUUUUUUUCAUGC